CAAAGCCAACCGGUUAGGCUUAGUGGCUCAACUUCGUUUCGAUUCAGUAGUGGUUGUUUGCAAUGUGCGGUUGGCGGUGGUGAUGGGGAUGCUGGUGGCCAGGGAAGCUUAUAAAGGUGGUGGCCAACAGAGAUACGGAGCUUUGGCGGUGGUGUUAAUGUCACGCUGUGUAUGUUAGCACUCCUGGCGGUGCAGGGGUUACGGAAAGUGAGAAGCAUACACAAACUGGUGCUCCACUGAAGAGUACAAUUAAGACAACCACAUAUUCACUUGUUGGCGGAAGACAGGAGAAGAUGAUUAGUUUGUGUGUGUUUGGGGCCGUAUUCACGAAGCUGUCCUAGGGAGUCUUAGCUAUGAAACGUGUCAUAGCUAGGACUAGAUGGUGCAUUCUUGUAAACUGCGCGAGUCUGCCGUAAAUUCUCGCGGGAUGCUACGGCUGGGUCCAUCCACCUCCCCGCGACUUGCAGAGUUGCCUAUAGUGGCGUUAACAAGCGUCCGCGUGAAAGGGCCAUAACUCCUUGGCCGUAAUCGUAUUUCCAAGAAUCCUGUAAUCAUCCUGCUGCUGACGGUGUCCUGGUGGUGGUGCAACUCGUCCCGGCGACAGAGGCUCCUCGCGGCGGGCGUGUGGCAGGUGAGCAAGCAGUCUGUGUGUGUCCGUCCCUGUUGCUCCUGGCGGGGAAAUGUUGAGGCUUGUGUCCGUGGUGUUUCCCCCAAUAAUGGAGCACUCACUCACUCAAACACACACACACACACACACACACACACACACACACACACACACACACACACACACACACACACACACACACACACACACACACACACACACACACACACACACACAGACACAUACACACACACACACACACACACACUAACCGGUGCAAGCACAAAUGGUCGCCAGUCAAUAUUUCCCGGGAGCAAUUCUGUGUGUUUGCAACAUCACAUUUCACCAUUUUUAUACAAGCUGCCGUUUCCGAUCAGUCUCUAUCUUUCUAAACAACAACCUGGUGGACAAAUACACAUUUCAGGUCGACGCCCGAACUGUGAUCCAUACAUCGCGCGGCCAGCAACAGCAAACGUAAAUAAAUAUGCUCCAACUUGGCGACGACCCAGCGAGAAAAAUACCAUCGUGAUAGCAGCCAUCGAGGCAUCAGCUUUAGGCGGGCGGCGCUGGGCAGGCCGGCGGGGAGAGGGUGGGGGGAGGCAAAAGUGUUAUUGUUGGAGUGGGGGUGGUCCUCGGGGGCUGGGGGAUGGGACGGAGGGACGGCAGGGGGCGGCUAGUGGUUGUGGCGUCGGGACUAUAGAGGAGAUAGGGAGGAGGGGUGAUGGGGCGGGAUAACCGAGGGAGGGGUGAGCGGUGCCUGGGGGGCGAGGGUGUUGUAAAAUGUUAAGGUAGUGUUGCCGAGGGCGUGUGAAGUGGUGUGAGGUGAGGCGGGAGAGGUGAGGAGGCCGUGAGGACCAGCCAGAAGGGCGCUGAGGGAGAGUUGAGGAAGGCACCAGCAGCUGUGAGGGCAGCGCGGCGGCGGGAGGCUCCGGCGUGGCCUGCGUCGUGAUGGCGGCGGCGGAGCUCACCGCGGCGCUCCGGUAGCGAGGUUGUGAAUGUCGUGCUCGCAAAAAAAAAAGUAACACUGUGGCAAUGAGCACAUUGCGUGGCUACUUAAUAAUGGCGACGGUCCCUCUGGUCAGGAUGUGGCAAGACCAGACACAGCAACGUCCUGCAUCGGAAUUCCGCGUCUUGGAGCCUUAAAUCAAUAUGGUAAUCCUUUUUUCAGUAUUUACUGGCGUGUUCCCAGGCAGGCCAGCCAACAGUGGGCCGCGGCCGUCGCUGCCGGCCGGCGACACUCGGCGACGCGAAAUUAUGGUUCCAUUUCAGAAAAUAGAAACCUCAAAUUUCAAUUAGCGACAUUUUAGAGCAAUUUGCAGAUGACUUAUUCACUUAUUGGCUACCUUAGUCGAUUGAGGAAAUUAAUUAGCAAGGAAUUCAUAUUUUGCAAGGUACGUCUGCAUUUAGGGAAAUUCAAUUUUAGCAAUUAUUCUCAAACUUGCAAAAAAAUAGCACAGGUUCUUUACUGGAAAUUCAGAUCGAUAGGAAUUGCAUAAAACAUCUACUUGAAGAAAAUUCCUUCACGUGGCGUGGGGUGGGCACCGCGGGACAACCUUGGGCCGCCCCUUGAAGGCGCUUGUGGCUUUCCCCCAGUGCUUGACACACAGAAAGCAAAGAAAAAUUAAUAAAAAUGCCAGAAAAAUAAGUUGAGGAGCAAAACUGACCAUCGGCCAAGAAUGUAAUUUUAAUUCUAUGAGUUCUGGCGCAGUGGAAACACCACGGCGCCGAAAAGCGUUAAGAGAAAGCUCUACUUCUCCCACCAAGAGAAAACGAAUACUUCCAUCCUUCUUCCAUUAUAUCCCGUAUGACGUAUCACGUGUCUCUGAGAGUCCUAAGCAAGCACAUGUACUCUCGUGAUCUCUGCUUGAGGAGGUGCUGCGGCGAGGAGCAUGUGGUAUCUUACAUCAGUUAAUCAAAGAAAGAUCAAGCCGAGAGACUUCCUCGUGUUUACUGUGAGUCUUUGUCCGUCUUCGUUCACUCCGACAGUCGGAAGACUCCAUGGCCAACUAAAGGAGGCGAGUCAUGUUAUGUUAUUGCUUUAAAAGAACAGAAGU